UCUAGUAGGGAAGAAAGAUGGGUCUGUGCGGUUCUCUGUGGACUACCGCAAGGUAAAUGAUGUGUCACGUUUUGAUGCCUACCCGAUGCCCCGGGUCGACGAGCUCCUAGACCGGUUGGGCACUGCUCGUUUUUUAACGACACUGGAUUUAACUAAGGGUUACUGGCAUAUUCCCUUGUCUCCAGAGUCUAAGAAAAUAACGGCAUUUUUCCACUCCGGAAGGUUCAUACCAAUUCGUGUUCCUUCCGUUCGGCUUGUUCGGUGAGCCCACCACCUUUCAGAGACUCAUGGACCGGGUACUGCGUCCCCACGCGGCAUAUGCUGCCGCCUAUCUGGAUGAUGUUAUCAUCCAGGGGAACAACUGGGCGGAGCAUAUGCAAAAGGUGGUGGCAGUACUCGAGUCCCCGAGGCGGGCGGGACUCACUGCCAACCGGCGAAGUGCGCGGUUGGCCGGAGGGAGGUACAGUAUCUGGGGUACCACUUGGGGGAAGGUCAGGUGCGGCCUCAGAUAGACAAAACCACGGCAGUUGCGGCCUGCCCAACCUCGAAGACGAAAAAAGAGGCGAGGCAGAUUUUGGGGAAGGUGGGCUACUACCGGAGGUUCGUCCCCCGGUUUGCGGAGCUGACCAGCCCACUAACUGACCUCACUUGAAAAGGUGCUCCAGAUCUGGUCCAGUGGACGGAGCAGUGGCAGCAGGCAUUCGAGAAGGCGAACGCGUCGGACAGUGGGUUGGGUGCUGUUUUAUCCAAGCAGAAGCAAGGUAUCGACCACCCCGUCCUAUACAUCAGCCAAAAGCUGUCGGAACAAGAAAGCCGGUACAGCACGGUGGAGAGGGAGUGCUUUGCUAUCCGGUGGGCGGUCGGUGCCCUCUGGUACUACCUGCUGGGACGCCCGUUCAGCCUCUGCUCGGACCGCAAGCCUCUCCAGUGGCUCCACCGCAUGAAAGAUGCCAACGCGCAGAUCACCCGUAGGUAUCUCGCUUUACAACCCUACCAUUUCAGAGUGAUCAAACAAAUGGCCAUGGCGGACUUUCUCUCCCGCUCUCAUGUGGGGGCGGGGGGGAGUAGGCGCGGCCGGAUGAUGUCCCGGCCUAAGUCUGACGGUGGAGGUUUGUGAAGGAGGAUUGUGAUCAGCGCGCUAUUGGAGUGAAGAUCAGUGACACCGUCUGGGCGACUGGAGACAGCGCACCCUCAGACGGGGGCGUGGCAUGUGCUGACUGAGAGACACAGCUGUCAGAUGAUUAGUAAGCGCAAGUGGUACGUGUUGAACUAAUCAUCUGUUGUUCUUGACAAUGAGCGGCCGGGUGCAAGAGAGGAAGUCAGACCUGUGGGAUUGAAAUGUCAAUACAUACGUGUUUGUGAGAGACCUGAGCGACUGAAAAGUCGAGACAUUCCUGUUGUGUGAAGUUGAUGAUUAAAACUCCUGUCAAACCCGA